rnacentral:misc_RNA from 1 species
AAGGCACAGCUAAGUAACCUUGCCAAUUAUUUAAAAAACAGCACAUAAACACAGGUAAUAUGGAUAUAUAUACCUAUCUCUUCCUCCUACUCAAUCCCAAACUUCUUUUUCAGCACAAGGACAAAUUCAUAGACCUUUUGAGGGUCAGGAAGAGACUUGGAUACAGACUCUUUCUGCAGGCACCUCUUAGCCCAAGCAAUCAGCACAGGACACUCAGGCUCUAUGCUGAAGUUGCCACAGGUCUCAUAGGCAUCAAACCAGGAAUAGAAUGGUAUAAGUGCAACAUCCACAUAUCCCAUGCUCUCACCACCAAAAUAAGGCUUGUUUCCAAGCUCACCUUCCAACAACUUAAGGGCCUCAAUGAAUUCUUUCUUGGCUGGCUCCUGCUCAUCUCCCUUUGUAGUCCAUA